CAUAUGAAUCCUCCGAUGCUGUCAUUUCAGCGUCAACUCGCCCAGAACUCCCAAAUCCCUCAGAUUCACCAACAGUCUCAACAGCAUGCCUGUACUCAGGAAUAAAAUCAGAGGAAUGCCCUUUAGAGGUACUUCCUUGAUUUCCCCAUUGGUUGUGGAAGCCAACACUUCCUUGAUUCCUUCUGUCCAACAAACUCUAUAGGAACAGUUGGCGCCAUAAGAUUAACUCCCAAUAACUGCACAUGUCAACUUUGACAAUUAAGUUUUAUUCCUCAGCUCACUUUCAACAAAUAUG
rnacentral:misc_RNA from 1 species